GGGCCUAUAGCUCAGUCGGUUAGAGCGCAUCCCUGAUAAGGAUGAGGCCGGUGGUUCAAGUCCACCUAGGCCCAC
rnacentral:tRNA from 2 species